rnacentral:rRNA from 1 species
UACGUAGGGUGCAAGCGUUAAUCGGAAUUACUGGGCGUAAAGCGUGCGCAGGCGGUUAUGUAAGACAGAUGUGAAAUGCCCGGGCUUAACCUGGGAACUGCAUUUGUGACUGCAUGGCUAGAGUUUGGCAGAGGGGGGUAGAAUUCCACGUGUAGCAGUGAAAUGCGUAGAUAUGUGGAGGAAUACCGAUGGCGAAGGCAGCCCCCUGGGAUAACACUGACGCUCAUGCACGAAAGCGUGGGGAGCAAACAGG